rnacentral:rRNA from 1 species
UACGAAGGGGGCUAGCGUUGUUCGGAUUCACUGGGCGUAAAGCGCACGUAGGCGGUUUGUUAAGUGAGAGGUGAAAUCCCAGAGCUCAACUCUGGAACUGCCUUUCAUACUGGCAAGCUAGAGUCCGGAAGAGGUAAGUGGAACUCCUAGUGUAGAGGUGGAAUUCGUAGAUAUUAGGAAGAACACCAGUGGCGAAGGCGGCUUACUGGUCCGGAACUGACGCUGAGGUGCGAAAGCGUGGGAGCAAACAGG